UUUUCUCUCUUAUUCCUCUUUCUUCUAUUUCUUUUCUUGUUCUUUGUUUUCCUCUUCUUUUCUCUGUCAAAUUCGAUUCAUUGGAUUUGAGCUUAUUUGCGUGUAAAUUAUCCUUAGGGAGAGUGGUAGAUGGUGGUAUUUAAGGAGAAGAUGUUACUGCUGAGGUUGAUUGAGAAUGAGAAGAAGAAGAUGGAGGUAAAUGGAAGUUAGGGUUCGUCUGGUUUUGAGUUGAAAUGGAAUCGACCGGAUAUUGAGUUAUGGAUUGAUGAAUAACAAAGGGGGUUUUCAUUUGAAUGAUAUUAUGAAGUUGUUAAAGGGAGAAAUUGAAAAGAUGAUUAAGAAUUUAAGAAAUCAGUAACUUAGGGUUUCAUAAGAACAUCUCAAAGAAUUAGAAGAUGAAAUUGAAGGUCCAGAAGAAAGAUUAGAGAUGGGUUAUUGUUGAAUUAAUGAUGUGAAGCGGUUCUGUUGAAGAUUUGCAGAAUUAGGGUUGUGUUCUGUUUUCCCAAAAUUAAGAAUGAGGGUUUUGUUGAAGCAGUAGAGAAAUCAGAUGAAAUAAAAGAUGGUUUUAGAUGGUUGAGAGGAUUAUAGUGGGAUUGCAGAUGAAGCAUUAAUCUCAGGUGAUGAAUUUGGCGCUGGUGAUUGAUUUUCGGUCUGCACAAAUAAUUCUGGGUUUGAAUUGAAGUGGAUGGUGAAGUAACAACUCAGAGAGUGCUAGAUAUUGGGUAAGCCUCUAUAUUGUCUCAAUUUCAGUAUCUUAAUUUGAAUGUUUAUGAAUUAUCGAGUUUAUAUGAUUGUUCGAGAAUUUUGUUGUUGAGAAGAACAUGGAUUGGAACUGUGAACUGUAGUGAAUUACAGGGAGAAGGAGAAGUAUAUGGUGUUGGAGAUGGUGGUGUGGUCUUUGUGGUUGAAUAAGUUGGGUGUGUAUGAUGUUGAGUGAUGUUGCUUGUGAUGUUGUUGGUAUUGAUGUUAAUUGAGAUGGUAAUAGGUAGUAGUUGUGGUGCUGAGUUAAAUUACAUCAUAUGUUGACGAAUAUGUGAUGAAAAUGUGGUUGUAACUGAAAUGAGAAAGAUAUGAGUCUGCAGUAGUUCUAAGGUGAAUUUUAUGAGAUUGGGUAUCUCAGCAUGAAGAAGUAGGAAGUGGCUUAGAUGGAAGAUAAUGCUAAAUAUAAUUCAGGGAAGAAUUGAUGUGGUGUUGUUGAGUAUGGAAAUGGACAGAUCUAGAUGUAUGUGUGUGGAGAUUGAAUUACAGUUGGGAAUGAAGUAUAAUUCUUUAUGGAUGUUGCAGUUGAGGUUUGAGAUUGUAUUACUGCUGAGUUUGAGAUAUAGUUUUGCUGUCAGUGAUCUUGUUAUGCAGCUGAGAUGAGUUAAUUGGUGGUGAUGAUGCUGAAGUUGCGGUGUUUGGCUGGGAGGAUAGUAUCAAUGGAUAGUGAACGAAUCUGUAGUUGUAAAGCUAGGUUUGUGAAUGAAUUACAGGGAUUGAUCUUUAAGAACUAGGAGUUGUUGAGAAUGGUAUUAAGGUUUGAAUUGGCAAAGAAUUGGCCAAGGUAAAGCUGAGCAGCAGUGAAGUGAUUGUAUAAAGAAUGUUGCUUAGAGCUUCAAUUGCAGUUAGUCUAUUUUUACAACGAUCGAUUUAAAGGAUGAACCGAUGGAUCGUGAAUCUCGAGGUAGGCAUGGCUUGUCAUCAAAAGAGGUGGGAAUACAUUUGACUCUUUUGUAAUCAUUGUUGUUUCUUUUACAAAAGGUUAUAUUUAACAAAUCAUGCAGUGUCUGUCUAUGCAUUCCCUGUUUUAUUUAAAUUGCAUUAUGAUAAUUAUGUUGAUUCUGUUAAUCUUUCCAUGGUUUGGAAAGGACUUGAAUUGUUUGUUUGUUAUAUGAAUUGUUAUGGGAAAUGAGAAUUUCCA